rnacentral:rRNA from 1 species
CCUACGAGAGGCUGCAGUGAGGAAUAUUGGUCAAUGGACGCAAGUCUGAACCAGCCAUGCCGCGUGCAGGAAGACGGCUCUAUGAGUUGUAAACUGCUUUUGUACGAGGGUAAACGCAGAUCCGCGUAUCUUUCUUAAAGUAUCUUACGAAUAAGGAUCGGCUCACGCCGUGCCAGCAGCCGCGGUAAUACGGAGGAUUCAAGCGUUAUCCGGUUUUCUUGGGUUUAAAGGGUGCGUAGGCUGUCGGAUAAGUUAGAGGUGAAAUCCCGAGGCGCAACUUCGGACUUGCCUCUGAUACUGUUCGGCUAGAGAGUAGUUGCGGUAGGCGGAAUGUAUGGUGUAGCGGUGAAAUGCUUAGAGAUCACGCAGAACCCCGAUUGCGAAGGCAGCAUACCGGCGCCCGACUGACGCUGAGGCACGAAAGUGCGGGUAUCGAACAGGAUUAGAUAUCCGUGUAGUC